UACGUAGGGGGCUAGCGUUGUCCGGAAUCAUUGGGCGUAAAGAGCGUGUAGGCGGUCCGGUAAGUCCGCUGUGAAAGUCGGGGCUCAACCCUCGAAUGCCGGUGGAUACUGUCGGGCUAGAGUGCGGAAGAGGCGAGUGGAAUUCCUGGUGUAGCGGUGAAAUGCGCAGAUAUCAGGAGGAACACCUAUUGCGAAGGCAGCUCGCUGGGACGUUACUGACGCUGAGACGCGAAAGCGUGGGGAGCAAACAGG
rnacentral:rRNA from 1 species